UACAGAGGGUGCAAGCGUUGUUCGGAAUUAUUGGGCGUAAAGAGCUCGUAGGCGGUCUGUCGCGUCGGCUGUGAAAACUCGGGGCUCAACUCCGAGCUUGCAGUCGAUACGGGCAGGCUAGAGUUCGGCAGGGGAGACUGGAAUUCCUGGUGUAGCGGUGAAAUGCGCAGAUAUCAGGAGGAACACCGGUGGCGAAGGCGGAUCUCUGGGCCAUUACUGACGCUGAGGAGCGAAAGCGUGGGGAGCGAACAGG
rnacentral:rRNA from 1 species